rnacentral:rRNA from 1 species
UACAGAGGGUGCAAGCGUUAAUCGGAAUUACUGGGCGUAAAGCGUGCGUAGACGGUUACAUAAGUCGGGUGUGAAAGCCCCGGGCUCAACCUGGGAAUUGCAUUCGAGACUGCGUAGCUAGGGUGCGGAAGAGGGAAGCGGAAUUUCCGGUGUAGCGUGAAAUGCGUAGAUAUCGGAAGGAACACCAGUGGCGAAAGCGGCUUCCUGGUCCAGCACCGACGUUCAGGCACGAAAGCGUGGGGAGCAAACAGG